rfam:Acyrthosiphon pisum strain LSR1 Contig1026264, whole genome shotgun sequence.
AAAAAGGCCCUUUUCAGGGCCACCAUAUAUGUGUCAUAUGUCGCUA